rnacentral:rRNA from 1 species
UACGUAGGGUGCGAGCGUUGUCCGGAAUUAUUGGACGUAAAGGGCUCGUAGGCGGUUUGUCGCGUCGGGAGUGAAAUCCACUGGCUUAACUGGUGGCUUGCUUUCGAUACGGGCAGACUGGAGGUAUGCAGGGGAGAACGGAAUUCCUGGUGUAGCGGUGAAAUGCGCAGAUGUCAGGAGGAACACCGGUGGCGAAGGCGGUUCUCUGGGCAUGUCCUGACGCUGAGGAGCGAAAGUGUGGGGAGCGAACAGG